AACCAUAGAAACCUGCGGAGUACCUGCGGAGGGAUCAUUACCGAGUUAUACAACUCAUCAACCCUGUGAACAUACCUAAAACGUUGCCUCGGCGGGAACAGACGGCCCCGUAACACGGGCCGCCCCCGCCAGAGGACCCCCUAACUCUGUUUCUAUAAUGUUUCUUCUGAGUAAACAAGCAAAUAAAUCAAAACUUUCAACAACGGAUCU
rnacentral:misc_RNA from 1 species